CGUGUGCCCCCAACUGACUAAGAAGGUAUAGGGCUACGAACCCUUACUUUUUAGGAUGCAACUCCGAUAUUAAUUCUCGUCUUAAUCAACUAUCAACAAACUGUCCUGAGCCUAAAAAUUGGAUAGGAAGAGGGGUGAGAUUACAAAAAUCCCAGUGAGUAAACAAUUACCAUCAAAAGCAUCUAAAGCCGAGUAAAUGAAGACAAUAUAAAAACGUUAUAUCUCAAUAAUGUUCAUAAUGCAAAAUUCGUUUUAAUCUAUACCAAACAAUUUCUUUUCAUCAAAAUUUCCCGGCUUAUGAAUUUUUUAAACUUGGCCCCUACCAAAAUCCUUCUCGUUGGUACCUUCGUCAAGGUAUCCCACUGAGACCGCCAAGGCUGUUAAAUGUCUCAUACCCAUAAACAUGUUUUCGCAUCUGACACACAACCGUUCCUUGGCGUUGGCUGAGUCUCACUUUCACGUGGUGGCCCGAACGUGAGGUGCACUCAAAUCUUACCUCAGGAGAUACUUCAUCCAACAUCUCCUCCCAGAGGUAGUUAUAUAAUUGGGUUACCGUGCCCCUCUCAUAGACAGUCUAGGGAAACCCCUACCACUACAGUGACCGUUUAAUAUACCACCAAACCCAUAAAAUUUUUAGUAGUAUAAUAUGGAGAAUAAAAUUUAAUCCAGUCUACCGAGACCAAUCCAAAACUGUUCAUAUAUUUCAUGCCAACCCCAAAAAUUUAGCCAUCAUGCUACCAUAGUGUCAUAAGCCACAAUUUCAAUAACAUAUAAAAUCAUAAAUUCAACACAAUCUCCAUAUACUUAAUUUUCCCAAAACAAUAUUUGAUUUUAAAAUCAAUAUAAAUCUCAUUUUUAUUAAAAAAAAUUUAAUUGGAAAAUAUAAUAUUUUAUAAUUUAAACUCACCAUUCAAUAAAAGCAUCAAACAAGUAUAAUUACUCUAGAUAUUUAAGAUGAUAAAUUGUCCACUCACAGUUCUAGGAGUCGAUGUACUCCUAAUCCCAGUCUUUAAGCACAAUCUCUGUACUUUUACCAGUGUAAUUUGCUCACCACCUAUCCACAAUGUAUAAUACAUAAUUUACCACAUUAAUGCUUGACCAUUAUAAAAUCAAUUCAGGCCCGGGGUAUAUGUAUGAUAUGAUAUGUAACUUAUCCGACUACCGCUUAAAUGCGGUGCUAACCUAAUUCGACCUAUUACCCGAUUAAAUGACAAUUGUGUCCGAUUUUGCUCCAAAUUGCUCCAUUUCAUUUCUAAUAUUUCAAUUCACUAAAUACAAUUCCAAUAAUCUAAAAUUCAGCCUAACAACCCUCACAAUUCUUCUUGAAAAAUUCGGCCAUUGUGGUGCACUAUCACUAAAAAUUUUCUGAUUCCAUUUUCUCAUCAUAAAUCAUCAUUUCAUCAAUUUUUCAACCAAUUCACUUGAUCACAAAAUUAAUUCAUUACUUCUACACUUCACAUAGGGUUCGGCCAUUGAAGGUUCAUGGGGAAAAUGGAUUCUUUUCUUAUUGUUUUGUUUCUAAACAUGCUUAAGUAACUCUAAACACCAACAUAACUCAAAAUAAAACAAUUCCAACAUCAUUUCUCUCACCAAACCCAUUCGGCUAGCCAUGAUUUCCCCAUGAAAACAUACAAUCCAACCAUGGAAAUUGAGGAGAAAUGCAUGGGCAAGGUAAAUCACUAGCAAAAUCAAAGAAAUUUUACCUUUGCUUGAUCAAAUCUUUAAAUUCCAACACUUUCUCUUUGAUUUUCCCCACCUAGGGUUUGUUCUCCCUUGAUUUCUCUUCUCUUCUGGUUUGGCC
rnacentral:lncRNA from 1 species